GACACCAUAGCUGAGUGGCUACAGUCACAGACAAGAAAUCUGUUUCCCUUUAAGAGCGCAGACCUGAAAUCUGUCUACAUGGGAAUGCAGGUUCGAAUCCUGCUGGUGUUU